rnacentral:rRNA from 1 species
CCGUGAGGGAAAGGCGAAAAGAACCCCGGCGAGGGGAGUGAAAAAGAACCUGAAACCGUGUACGUACAAGCAGUGGGAGCACAGAGCAAUCUGUGUGACUGCGUACCUUUUGUAUAAUGGGUCAGCGACUUAUAUUCUGUAGCAAGGUUAACCGAAUAGGGGAGCCGAAGGGAAACCGAGUCUUAACUGGGCGUUAAGUUGCAGGGUAUAGACCCGAAACCCGGUGAUCUAGCCAUGGGCAGGUUGAAGGUUGGGUAACACUAACUGGAGGACCGAACCGACUAAUGUUGAAAAAUUAGCGGAUGACUUGUGGCUGGGGGUGAAAGGCCAAUCAAACCGGGAGAUAGCUGGUUCUCCCCGAAAGCUAUUUAGGUAGCGCCUCGUGAAUUCAUCUCCGGGGGUAGAGCACUGUUUCGGCAAGGGGGUCAUCCCGACUUACCAACCCGAUGCAAACUGCGAAUACCGGAGAAUGUUAUCACGGGAGACACACGGCGGGUGCUAACGUCCGUCGUGAAGAGGGAAACAACCCAGACCGCCAGCUAAGGUCCCAAAGUCAUGGUUAAGUGGGAAACGAUGUGGGAAGGCCCAGACAGCCAGGAUGUUGGCUUAGAAGCAGCCAUCAUUUAAAGAAAGCGUAAUAGCUCACUGGUCGAGUCGGCCUGCGCGGAAGAUGUAACGGGGCUAAACCAUGCACCGAAGCUGCGGCAGCGACGCUUAUGCGUUGUUGGGUA